UACGUAGGGGGCUAGCGUUGUCCGGAUUCAUUGGGCGUAAAGCGCACGCAGGCGGCUUGGUAAGUCAUCGGUGAAAUCCCUCGGCUCAACCGGGGGGGGUCCGGCGAAACUGCCAGGCUUGAGGUCGGGAGGGGGAAGCGGAAUUCCGGGUGUAGUGGUGGAAUGGCGUAGAUAUCCGGAGGAACACCAGUGGCGAAGGCGGUUGCCUGGGGCUUUGCUGACGCUGAUGCGCGAAAGCGUGGGGAGCGAUCCGG
rnacentral:rRNA from 1 species